GAGUUUGAUCUUGGCUCAGAUUGAACGCUGGCGGCAUGCCUUACACAUGCAAGUCGAACGGCAGCACGGGAGCUUGCUCCUGGUGGCGAGUGGCGAACGGGUGAGUAAUGCAUCGGAACGUAUCCUGGAGUGGGGGAUAACGUAGCGAAAGUUACGCUAAUACCGCAUAUUCUGUGAGCAGGAAAGCGGGGGACCUUCGGGCCUCGCGCUCUUGGAGCGGCCGAUGUCGGAUUAGCUAGUUGGUGAGGUAAAGGCUCACCAAGGCGACGAUCCGUAGCAGGUCUGAGAGGAUGAUCUGCCACACUGGAACUGAGACACGGUCCAGACUCCUACGGGAGGCAGCAGUGGGGAAUUUUGGACAAUGGGGGCAACCCUGAUCCAGCCAUGCCGCGUGAGUGAAGAAGGCCUU
rnacentral:rRNA from 4 species